CCUACGGGAGGCAGCAGUGAGGAAUAUUGGUCAAUGGACGAGAGUCUGAACCAGCCAAGUAGCGUGAAGGAUGACUGCCCUAUGGGUUGUAAACUUCUUUUAUAUGGGAAUAAAACGUUCCACGUGUGGGAUUUUGUAUGUACCAUAUGAAUAAGGAUCGGCUAACUCCGUGCCAGCAGCCGCGGUAAUACGGAGGAUCCGAGGGUUAUCCGGAUUUAUUGGGUGUAAAGGGAGCGUAGGUGGAUUGUUAAGUCAGUUGUGAAAGUUUGCGGCUCAACCGUAAAAUUGCAGUUGAAACUGGCAGUCUUGAGUACAGUAGAGGUGGGCGGAAUUCGUGGUGUAGCGGUGAAAUGCUUAGAUAUCACGAAGAACUCCGAUUGCGAAGGCAGUUCACUGGACUGCAACUGACACUGAGGCUCGAAAGUGUGGGUAUCAAACAGGAUUAGAUACCCUGGUAGUC
rnacentral:rRNA from 1 species